UACGUAGGGGGCAAGCGUUGUCCGGAUUUAUUGGGCGUAAAGAGCGUGUAGGCGGUUUGGUAGGUCCGUUGUGAAAACUCGAGGCUCAACCUCGAGAUGCCGAUGGAAACCAUCAGACUAGAGUCCGGAAGAGGAGAGUGGAAUUCCUGGUGUAGCGGUGAAAUGCGCAGAUAUCAGGAAGAACACCCGUGGCUAAGGCGGCUCUCUAGUACGGUACUGACGCUGAGACGCGAAAGCGUGGGGAGCGAACAGG
rnacentral:rRNA from 1 species